GGUUAAGCGACUAAGCGUACACGGUGGAUGCCCUGGCAGUCAGAGGCGAUGAAGGACGUGCUAAUCUGCGAUAAGCGUCGGUGAGGUGAUAUGAACCGUUAUAACCGGCGAUUUCCGAAUGGGGAAACCCAGUGUGUUUCGACACACUAUCAUUAACUGAAUCCAUAGGUUAAUGAGGCGAACCGGGGGAACUGAAACAUCUAAGUACCCCGAGGAAAAGAAAUCAACCGAGAUUCCCCCAGUAGCGGCGAGCGAACGGGGAGGAGCCCAGAGCCUGAAUCAGUGUGUGUGUUAGUGGAAGCGUCUGGAAAGGCGCGCGAUACAGGGUGACAGCCCCGUACACAAAAAUGCACAUGCUGUGAGCUCGAUGAGUAGGGCGGGACACGUGGUAUCCUGUCUGAAUAUGGGGGGACCAUCCUCCAAGGCUAAAUACUCCUGACUGACCGAUAGUGAACCAGUACCGUGAGGGAAAGGCGAAAAGAACCCCGGCGAGGGGAGUGAAAAAGAACCUGAAACCGUGUACGUACAAGCAGUGGGAGCCUCUUAAUGGGGUGACUGCGUACCUUUUGUAUAAUGGGUCAGCGACUUAUAUUCUGUAGCAAGGUUAACCGAAUAGGGGAGCCGAAGGGAAACCGAGUCUUAACUGGGCGUUAAGUUGCAGGGUAUAGACCCGAAACCCGGUGAUCUAGCCAUGGGCAGGUUGAAGGUUGGGUAACACUAACUGGAGGACCGAACCGACUAAUGUUGAAAAAUUAGCGGAUGACUUGUGGCUGGGGGUGAAAGGCCAAUCAAACCGGGAGAUAGCUGGUUCUCCCCGAAAGCUAUUUAGGUAGCGCCUCGUGAAUUCAUCUCCGGGGGUAGAGCACUGUUUCGGCAAGGGGGUCAUCCCGACUUACCAACCCGAUGCAAACUGCGAAUACCGGAGAAUGUUAUCACGGGAGACACACGGCGGGUGCUAACGUCCGUCGUGAAGAGGGAAACAACCCAGACCGCCAGCUAAGGUCCCAAAGUCAUGGUUAAGUGGGAAACGAUGUGGGAAGGCCCAGACAGCCAGGAUGUUGGCUUAGAAGCAGCCAUCAUUUAAAGAAAGCGUAAUAGCUCACUGGUCGAGUCGGCCUGCGCGGAAGAUGUAACGGGGCUAAACCAUGCACCGAAGCUGCGGCAGCGACACUAUGUGUUGUUGGGUAGGGGAGCGUUCUGUAAGCCUGUGAAGGUAGCCUGUGAGGGUUGCUGGAGGUAUCAGAAGUGCGAAUGCUGACAUAAGUAACGAUAAAGCGGGUGAAAAGCCCGCUCGCCGGAAGACCAAGGGUUCCUGUCCAACGUUAAUCGGGGCAGGGUGAGUCGACCCCUAAGGCGAGGCCGAAAGGCGUAGUCGAUGGGAAACAGGUUAAUAUUCCUGUACUUGGUGUUACUGCGAAGGGGGGACGGAGAAGGCUAUGUUGGCCGGGCGACGGUUGUCCCGGUUUAAGCGUGUAGGCUGGUUUUCCAGGCAAAUCCGGAAAACCAAGGCUGAGGCGUGAUGACGAGGCACUACGGUGCUGAAGCGACAAAUGCCCUGCUUCCAGGAAAAGCCUCUAAGCAUCAGGUAACAUCAAAUCGUACCCCAAACCGACACAGGUGGUCAGGUAGAGAAUACCAAGGCGCUUGAGAGAACUCGGGUGAAGGAACUAGGCAAAAUGGUGCCGUAACUUCGGGAGAAGGCACGCUGAUAUGUAGGUGAAGCGACUUGCUCGUGGAGCUGAAAUUAGUCGAAGAUACCAGCUGGCUGCAACUGUUUAUUAAAAACACAGCACUGUGCAAACACGAAAGUGGACGUAUACGGUGUGACGCCUGCCCGGUGCCGGAAGGUUAAUUGAUGGGGUUAGCGGUAACGCGAAGCUCUUGAUCGAAGCCCCGGUAAACGGCGGCCGUAACUAUAACGGUCCUAAGGUAGCGAAAUUCCUUGUCGGGUAAGUUCCGACCUGCACGAAUGGCGUAAUGAUGGUCAGGCUGUCUCCACCCGAGACUCAGUGAAAUUGAACUCGCUGUGAAGAUGCAGUGUACCCGCGGCAAGACGGAAAGACCCCGUGAACCUUUACUAUAGCUUGACACUGAACAUUGAGCCUUGAUGUGUAGGAUAGGUGGGAGGCUUUGAAGUGUGGACGCCAGUCUGCAUGGAGCCGACCUUGAAAUACCACCCUUUAAUGUUUGAUGUUCUAACGUUGGCCCGUAAUCCGGGUUGCGGACAGUGUCUGGUGGGUAGUUUGACUGGGGCGGUCUCCUCCUAAAGAGUAACGGAGGAGCACGAAGGUUGGCUAAUCCUGGUCGGACAUCAGGAGGUUAGUGCAAUGGCAUAAGCCAGCUUGACUGCGAGCGUGACGGCGCGAGCAGGUGCGAAAGCAGGUCAUAGUGAUCCGGUGGUUCUGAAUGGAAGGGCCAUCGCUCAACGGAUAAAAGGUACUCCGGGGAUAACAGGCUGAUACCGCCCAAGAGUUCAUAUCGACGGCGGUGUUUGGCACCUCGAUGUCGGCUCAUCACAUCCUGGGGCUGAAGUAGGUCCCAAGGGUAUGGCUGUUCGCCAUUUAAAGUGGUACGCGAGCUGGGUUUAGAACGUCGUGAGACAGUUCGGUCCCUAUCUGCCGUGGGCGCUGGAGAACUGAGGGGGGCUGCUCCUAGUACGAGAGGACCGGAGUGGACGCAUCACUGGUGUUCGGGUUGUCAUGCCAAUGGCACUGCCCGGUAGCUAAAUGCGGAAGAGAUAAGUGCUGAAAGCAUCUAAGCACGAAACUUGCCCCGAGAUGAGUUCUCCCUGACUCCUUGAGAGUCCUGAAGGAACGUUGAAGACGACGACGUUGAUAGGCCGGGUGUGUAAGCGCAGCGAUGCGUUGAGCUAACCGGUACUAAUGAACCGUGAGGCUUAACCUU
rnacentral:rRNA from 1 species